rnacentral:misc_RNA from 1 species
GGCAGCUGAACCAUCGUCACUAGCCUUCCAUUCCAUCGUUGCCUGGAAAAGAACUACAACUAGUUACACGGGAAAAACAGACCAACAACUCUCAAACCCAAGAAACCACCUUCCAGAGAGCCUUUAGUAGACGAGAAACAACCAAAUCCGGCAAUCAGCAAGGAUAGUCAACGGGCAGAGUUCAUAUGGCUUAUGCGCCUUAAAGGAUCAGGUGGCUAACCGAGCGAGCCGGUUAUAGGACCCUUUAACAUUUUUGUCCUUACAAC